UUUGCCUCUCCUGAACAGCUUUACAGAACGGGUAUUCAUCAUCAACUGAGAUUUUCAGCCUACAACAGCAAUCCCAGUAGACCUGGAAGCACAUGCAAAGGGAGACUAAAUUGGGUCCAAGUCUCAAAAGGAUGAAAUAAGGAUUUAACAAUACAUCUCAGACUUAACUCCACUGAUGAGGAGGAAAGGAUGCCAUUUCCUCGGGAACUGGAAGAGAAAGAACCUUAUUUUUCAGUGAAUCACUCUGACUCCUCUGCCUUGGAAAGAUGUGAGACAGAUCCUCCAAGCAGUGAGAAUAAAGGUUACAUUUAGUGUUACUGAAGAAAAUUCCAUUAAUAUUUUCAGCUGGGCUGCUUCAUUAGGAAAGAAUACAU